UUUCUGGGAAAUGUAGUCCAGCUGCGAUGCCGCGUUUAAGGUACCGGGACUUACAGUUCCGAGACAGGGACUGCUCAGGCGCGUUCCGGGACCCGGCGGAGGAAGGGAAGGCCUGGCUGUCCAGCGGAAUCCGCCUGGACGCACGGAACUCGCGGACCCGACCGGAGCAGCUCUUCGGGCCCUGGCGUGAACCCUUCUCCCAGAGGCACAUGCCCAGAACCCAGCAAUGGCCAAUGGGACCUUGAUGGCCGAGGGCCAGCUUUUCUAAACCCUACCUGGAUAAGGAUAAGAAAUAGAAGGAGGGGACACUUUAGGAUGCUACAAAAUAAAAUACAACAACAACAACAAUAACAGCAGCAGCAACAACAACAACAGCAA
rnacentral:lncRNA from 1 species